UUGAUGCUUUAGGGUUUAGAGUUGAAGGUUUAGGGUUUAGGGUUUAGGGUUUAGAGUUGAGGUUUCGAGGUUUAGGGUUUAGAGUUGAUGUUUCAGGGUUUAGGGUUCGUAUUUCAAAAAAAAAUAGGGUUUAGGAUUGAUGGUUUAGGGUUUAGGGUUCGUAUUUCAAAAAAAAAAGGUUUACGAUUGAUGGUUUAGGGUUUAGAGUUGAGUUUUAGGGUUCAGGGUUUUAAUCUUGAAAUAGUAUAAUUCAAAAAAAAAUUAAAAAAUUAUUUUUUAUUUUUUUAGAUUUUUAUUUAUUUAAAUAUUUAUUUAUUAUAUAUGUAAAGAACAUGGGCAUAAGAGUCUUUUGCCACUUAAUGAAGAAUGUAUUUUUGAAAAUAUCCUUUUAGUGGUGGAAAAAAUGAAAAGUGAUAGCAUGAUAGUGGUAAACACAUAAUUUUCCCAAAAAAACUUUCACCGGCAAUGAAUGAAAAAAUAAAACAAAUAUCUAUUUUGCUUAUUUUUAUAAAUUCUAAAGAACUUUCACGUUCAUUUAGAAAUAAAUAGAGUUGAUGUUUUAGGGUUUAGAUUUGAAGGUUUAGGGUUUUAGGGUUUAGGUUUAGGGUUUAGGGUUUAGAGUUGAUGUUUUAGGGUUUAGGGUUUAGAGUUGAUGUUUUAGUGUUUAGAGUUGAAGGUUUAGGGUUUAGGGUUUAGAAUUGAUGUUUCGGGGUUUGGAGAUUAGAGUUGAUGUUUCAGGGUUUAGGGUUUAUUUCAAAAAAAAAUAGUGUUUAGGAUUGAUGGUUUAGGGUUUAGGGUUCGUAUUUAAAUAAAAAUAGGGUUUAGGAUUGAUGGUUUAGGGUUUAGGGUUCGUAUUUCAAAAAAAAAAGGUUUACGAUUGAUGGUUUAGGGUUUAGAGUUGAGUUUUAGGGUUCAGGGUUUUAAUCUUGAAAUAGUAUAAUUCAAAAAAAAAUUAAAAAAUUAUUUUUUAUUUUUUUAGAUUUUUAUUUAUUUAAAUAUUUAUUUAUUAUACAUAUAAAGAACGAUGACAUAAGAGUCUUUUGCCACUUAUUGAAGAAUGUAUUUUUGAAAAUAUCCCUUUAAUGAUGGUAAAAAUGAAAAAUGGUAGCAUGAAAGUUGUAAAUAUGUAAUUUUUUCAAAAUAUAUUGGCCCUACGAUUACAAUUCAAAGAAUCUUCAGCAGCAUAAUGCAUAGCAAAUUGUCUUUGUAUUAUGAGUAAGGUUCUUUAGCUGUAAAACUUUUUUUUCCAAAAUUUGAACCCACACCGUAGAGAAAUGAAGAAUAAAAUACGAAGAGUUUGAAACAAACCAUAAAACUACUGUGGCAAAUGUUAUUUUUUGUUUAAUAACACUAGAACCUUUUCCGCGUUACACCUGGGUUUUUGCAUAAAAUAUAAAUAAAAUAUAAAUUUGCAUAUUAUUUUAUUUGAGUACAUAUACAUGUGGUGUUUUUUAAAGUACA
rnacentral:lncRNA from 1 species